rnacentral:rRNA from 1 species
UACAGAGGGGGCAAGCGUUAUUCGGAAUUAUUGGGCGUAAAGAGCUCGUAGGCGGCCUGUUGCGUCCGCUGUGAAAGCCCGGGGCUUAACCCCGGGUCGGCAGUGGAUACGGGCAGGCUAGAGGUAGGUAGGGGAGAAUGGAAUUCCCGGUGUAGCGGUGAAAUGCGCAGAUAUCGGGAGGAACACCGGUGGCGAAGGCGGUUCUCUGGGCCUUACCUGACGCUGAGGAGCGAAAGCGUGGGGAGCGAACAGG